AGGAAAACAUGUUCGGUUGUUUCUAUUUCCGUGUGACACAUCUAACAGAGAGGGUCGGGACUAAUCUUUUUUUUGUGGAGGUUCUCUCUGGUGGGAAUGGCAUUUUGACAAAUGCUCCACAGGAAGGUUCGGAUUUUCAGUGGAACGGAGAGGCUCCAAAUCUUUGUCCAGAGGGAUCGUGGGGUUUGACUCUCGCCCCACCAACAUACUUUUCCAACCCCAAGAUGACUGUCGACCCUUCUGUGCAUUCCAUAUGUCCCCGUUUGGGAAGUAGAUGCUCUUCAGAACUUUACUCCAGAGUGCAUCUUGGGACUUGUGCAGCCUCCAGACUUGUUUACCCAGCAUCGCACAAUUGAAGAUGGAGACUGGCAGUUUGAAGAUCGACAUGGCAUAUGUCGGUAUUGCUUGCACCACACUCUUGAUCAAGACUUCCUUCCCUGCUUUGGGAUGCCUAAGUACUUUCCUGUCUUAUCAAUCACAGGCACUCUCAACUCAUGUGCCAUGUUUCUUUUAAGUGGUUCUGACAUUCUUGUAGAGUACCAUCCAAGAAGAAAAUAACAUCAUCUGCAAACAUAAGGAUAAACAAGUAUGGCGACAGAGGAUCUCCUUGCCUUAGGCCUCUGGACGGACUGAAAAACGAGCUGGUGUAGCACUUCUUGCACAAUCAGAAUGUUAUCCUGUAUCUGACGCCCCUUAACGAAGGCACUCUGUUCAGGAUUUUUCACUUUGGGGAUCAAGGCAAUAUAGGUGCGAUUUAAAUGAGGAUCCAAUACUCCUGUGUUGAAGAAAUCCUGCACCAUUUGGAACAGGGUGUAGCUUCAGAACCAGGGGACUGUGGUCCGAGCCAAUUGCUGGAAGUGCAUGAACUUCUGCCUCAUGGAAUAUUACGCGCCAUUCCAAGGUACAUAACACUCUGUCUAGUCGUUUUUUAACAAGAUCCUCCCCUUCUCUGUUAUUUGCCCACGUAAAUGCACAACCUUGACUUUCCAUGUCCAUUAGAGCUAAUUCAUUAAGCAUGUUUCUGAAUGCUGCUAUUCUUUGAUUGUCUGCUUCCCUUUUUCCCACCUUCUCCCAUACAUAUAGAAUUUCGUUAAAAUCCCCCAUACAUAUCCAUGGAUUUGAUCUGUGAGGCUUCAACGUUUUCAAUUGCUGCCAUAAUUGUAUCCUUUCCCCCAAAUGUGUGGACGCAUGAAUGAACGUUAUCUGCAUGCUUAAAUUUCUAGCUGAUUCAAUACACUGAACAUGAAUAAAGUGUUUUGAACUCCUUUGCACUGUCAAUGUUACCUCCUCAUUCCACAUUAGCGCCAGUCCCCCUGCUAUCCCCAUUGGAUUUUCGAGAAAUAAGUUCUGAAAUUGGAGCUUUUUGCAUAUGCUUUCCACCAUUGUUGCUUUGUUUUUAGUCUCCAUUAGAAAGACUAUAUUGGGCCUUUCAAGAGCAAUUAAUGCUCUUAGCUCUUGGAUUGUCAGGGG